rnacentral:rRNA from 1 species
GCAAGUCGAGCGGUAACAGAGAUAGCUUGCUAUCUGCUGACGAGCGGCGGACGGGUGAGUAAUGCUUGNGAAUAUGCCUUUGAGUGGGGGACAACACUUGGAAACGACUGCUAAUACCGCAUAACGUCUACGGACCAAAAGGGGGGAUCUUCUGACCUCUCUCUCAUAGAUGAACCCACCUGAGAUUAACUAGUUGGUGAGGGAAUGGCUUACCCAGGCGACCAUCUCUCCCUGGUUUGAGAGAAUGAUCAACCACCCUGGGACUGAGACACACCCCACACUCCCUCNGGAGGGAGCAGUGGGGAAUAUUGCACACUGGGCGAAAGCCUGAUGCAUCCAUGCCUCGUGUGUGAAAAAAGCCUUCCUGUUGUAUAGCACUUUCUUUCAGGAGGAAAGGGAGGUAGUUAAUAAAUGCGUGCUGUGACGUUCCUCACACAAAAAACACCGGCUAACUCCCUGCCAGCC